rnacentral:rRNA from 1 species
ACUACAUGAAGCUGGAAUCGCUAGUAAUCGCAGAUCAGAAUGCUGCGGUGAAUACGUUCCCGGGUCUUGUACACACCGCCCGUCACACCAUGGGAGUCGGAAAUGCCCGAAGCCGGUGACCCAACCAAAAGGAGGGAGCCGUCGAAGGCAGGUCUGAUAACUGGGGUGAAGUCGUAACAAGGUAUC